rnacentral:lncRNA from 1 species
UCCUCCACCCACCCACCCACUCCUACCUCCCUGCCAUCAGUUCCCCUACACUGGGGGCAUCUAUCGAGCCUUCAUAGGACCAAGGACCUCUCCUCCCAUUGAUGCAUGACAGGCCAUCCUCUACAACAUAUGCAGCUGGAGCCAUGUGUACUCCUUUGUUUGAUGGCUUAGUCCCUGGGAGCUCCUGCCUCUAUUCUUUUAAAAAAUGUACUUUAAGUAGUAAUCAGUGAUGCUGCUAGUUGGGUUUUCCAUGAAACGGAGGGAGAGUUAGGGAAAGAAUCAGCUAGUGUUCAGUUCUCAAAUGGCUAAUGGACUGCUGACAGUCAGUCUGGACCUUGUUACAAGGAAGGGGAUAAAUAGGGCCAGGAGUAGAAUAAAGAACUUCCAGAGUGUGCCAAGGGCUAGCUGUGAACUUUUUAAUCAGCCAAGACAGGUGUGAUGUCUGGGAGAGUUUGCCAAAGCCAUUGACCUAUGAUCAGCAGGUAAACAGGGAAGCAAGCAAGAUGGCAAAACAAGGGAUUUAGAACCACAAGUUUGGCUGAGACUGACAAUGACAUGCACACAUGCAACAAGUUAAUAAUGCCUUCCUUAACUGGCACUGAACGCAUCCUUUGGGGAGGCAGCAGAUAAUGCACUUGCAGUGGCAAGUGCUGAAGCAGAUGGCUGUUGACAGCGUGAACCCAGGAGCUGCAGACGAGGUUGCCCUGGAGACGUGCUCAGCUUUCUCAGAAUCUGAAUGGAGAGCUACCCCGCUAAUGGAUGAAAUCAUCCGUUAAAGAACAGGAGGAAGAAUGGAGGUCUCUCACAUCCUGUGCAGUGUCUGCCUGUGUGUCUCUAUACUCAGUCCCAUCUGCUGCAGGAGGAAGGAAGCCUCUUUGAUGAUGACCGAACAAGACACUAUCUGUCAGUAUAACAGAAUAUCAUUUGGAUUAAUUGUAUCACAGCAUUAUUUUUUUUUAGAACAGUAGUAUUUGGUUUUACUUUUGGUCUCUGGGCUAUCUAAUAUGUGGUUCUUGGUCACACAAGCAGUGUUGGAUAUGUUUUCAUCUUGUGAAGUGGGUCUUGGGUCAAAUCAGAUAAUGGUUGGUUACUCCCAAAGCUCUGCACCACCCCUAGGACAGGCGUUUUCAGUCUUCCUAAUGCUGUGACCCUUUAAUACAGUUCCUUAUGUUGUGGCGACCGGAGGCUAUAAAAUUGUUUCAUUAUAACUGCAAUUUUUGCUACUGUUACAAAUUGUAAUAUAAAUAUCUGAUACUUGGGGCUGGAGAGAUGGCUCAGUGGUUAAGAGCACUGACUGCUUUUCCAAAGGUCCUGAGUUCAAAUCCCAGCAACCAUCUAUAAUGGGAUCUGACACCCUCUUCUGGUGUGUCUGAAGACUACAACAGUGUACUCACAUAUAUAAAAUAAAUAAAUCUUUUAUUAAAACAAUUUUUAAUACUUGACCCCCAAAUGGUCACAACCAACAUGGGUUGAGAACUGGUGUCCUAGGAUUGUGGCUGGCUGGUGUUUACAUUUUUCUUUUGGUACCAUGCAGAGUACCAAAAACAAUGCUAGAACAUAUGGGAGAAGGCUCUAUGUAGGUACCAGCUCAAUGUCUACAUAUUCAGUAAAUUGUGUAGGUGUUGUCUUUUGAAAUGGGAACUUGCUAUCAGUUUGGGGAGAUUAACCUAUUGUCUUUGCUACAACCUGUGUUGUUCAGGAUUCCCAUAGGAAUCCUUUGGUUAACGAUUCAAUUAGGUGUAACCCAAUACCCAUCGUGGAAGCUUAAUUUGUUGACAAGAGAUGGCCAGUUGGGGCUCUGUCUUUCUCAUUAUUUGGCAAUUUGAUUUAGGUUACUUCCUAUAUGUGUAUAUUUUAGGAAGUUUCUUCUGUGUUGGGUUCCUAUAACAUUCCUCAAAUGCCCCUUACUUUUAGCUGUCUCUCCCUGUAUUAUCUCCCCCAACCCCCUUUCUUAUCUCCCUCCCCACUUUAUCCUGCCAUUCCAUCCACUUAUCCAUCCAUAACUAUUUAUUCUAUUCCCAUUUCCUAACAAGCUCUAUCUCUACCCUCUGGUCCCUUACUGUGUGCUUACCCAUUGUGGUCCUAAAGAUUUUAAGUGGUUAGCAUUGAUAUAACAGCUAAUGUCCACAUAUAAGUGGGAAUGCACCAACCAUGUUUGUCUUUCUAGGUCGGGGAUGCCUUUUUAUCUAGUUUCAUCCAUUUGUCUGCAAAUUUCAUGAUGAUUUUUUUUUAAACAGCUGAAUAAAACCCUUUUGAAUAAAUGUGCCAUGUUUUCUUUAUCCAUUCUUCUGUUGAGGGACAUCUAGGUUGUUUCUAAUUUCUGGCUAUUACAAUAAUGGUUUUGAAGUAGAGGGUACAGGCUUUGUGUGGUGGGACACACCAGUAACCCCAGCAUAGGAGAGGAAGGAGAACUGUCAAGAACUUGAGGCUAGCUUGUGAUACAUGGUGAGGUCUAGGCUAGCCUGGGCAACAUCAUGAAAUCCUGUGUCAAAAAUAAAAAAAAAUAUGAAAAAGAAAGGCAUAAAUGGAGGGAAAGAGAAUUUCUAGAAGCUUGUGACCAACAGUCUCAAAGGUCACAGAGUUGAUAAAGUAGCAUGGAGUGGGGUUAAGUUUCUUGCCCCUCUGAAUGAAUGGGAAAAUGUCUUUGACAACUAGACCAGGUGCUAAUGUGUAGAAGAAGAACUAGAAGACUUGUACAGUAUAAAAACAAAAUGCCUAGUGAACAUACAGGUCUCAAGACGCAGAAAUGGGUGGUAAAUAUUUUUAAAGGUUUCAAAAUCGGUAGUCAUCAGGGCAUUGCAUAUUAAUGUAACUUUGAGGUUGCAUCCCAACCCAGUCAGAAAAAGAAUGACAGCAAA